rnacentral:rRNA from 1 species
CCCUUAGACGUUCUGGGCCGCACGCGCGCUACACUGACGAAGGCAACGAGCUUUCCUUUACCGAAAGGUACGGGUAAUCUUUUGAAACUUCGUCGUGCUGGGGAUAGAUCCUUGCAAUUAUUGAUCUUAAACGAGGAAUUCCUAGUAAGCGCAAGUCAUCAACUUGCGUUGAUUACGUCCCUGCCCUUUGUACGCACCGCCCGUCGCUACUACCGAUUGAAUGGUUUAGUGAGGCCUUCGGAUCCGCGACUCGUUUUGUGGAGAAGUUGGACAAACUCAGUCAUUUAGAGGAAGUAAAAGUCGUAACA